UUCCACAUAGCUCAGUUGAUAGAACAUGAGACUCUUAAUCUCAGGGUUGUGGAUUCGAGCCCCACGAUGGGUGAAAG